rnacentral:lncRNA from 1 species
UCUCUUUCCCUCUGUAUAAUUUAUAUCUCUAACUCCUCCUCAUCUCUCUCCACUGUGACAGGGAGAUGCUUCUGUCAGCCCCAGCAGCCUUCAGGCAGAGACUAGAGGUCUGCAGGUUCCUCCUCCCCCACUGUGGCCCUGUCUCAGCCUUCAGGGAGAUAAUACAGUACUUCCUGGAAAGACCUGUAAGGCACCUGAGCACUUUAAAAAAGACUGCACUGAGCCAUCCUGUCAGGAACAUGACAUAGGUUCUCACCACGUAGGGCAUCAGACGGCGUGCAGCAGCAAGAGCCUAGGCCAGAGGUAAGAGCUCUACCUGUUCAGUCCAAGACAUGUGACCUUGUGGCUGAUGCACUGAUGGGUUAUACUAAGAGGAUCCCUGCUUUCACUUUACAGCGCACUGAUGACAAAGAGCAGCCAGAGUGAGAGCCAGAGGCAUGCUGUUCACUCAGAGCACAAUGGAGUGAUGGAGAGGAGGGGGAAACCAGGCAUCAUGACCUGUAGGCCAGACCCACAUCAGAACGCAGAUGAGAAAUGGGCUUUCACUCCAGAAAAAAAGAGUAGAAGAAGACCUGGUGGAAGGAGAAGUGAUGGGGCUAAAGGCUACAUCCCCAGCAGCGUCAUCAGACCACAGUCAACACACAUGACCAGACAGGGUGCCAGUAAGAGGAAGUAACCAAUGGGUGUGGCAAUAGCCUACCCUAUUUAUUUUCCAGCUUAACAAUGAACAUUAUAACACCAUGUAUGUUGUGCGUUCCUUUACCACUGUAGAGCCGGUCCAGAACAGGUAUGGAGACACGUGGUCCGAUAGCUCCAGUACUCCCUCCAGUCCCCAGCACGAGGCACAUGAGAGCCUGGAUAAUGAGGACCUGGAGGACGAGAGAGGUGAGUGGCCCCUCUAAACCCUGUCUGUCCCCCUCUCUUUUCUGUCAGGAA